GAUGAACGCUGGCGGCGUGCCUAAUACAUGCCAGUCGAGCGAACGGACGAGAAGCUUGCUUCUCUGAUGUUAGCGGCGGACGGGUGAGUAACACGUGGAUAACCUACCUAUAAGACUGGGAUAACUUCGGGAAACCGGAGCUAAUACCGGAUAAUAUUUUGAACCGCAUGGUUCAAAAGUGAAAGACGGUCUUGCUGUCACUUAUAGAUGGAUCCGCGCUGCAUUAGCUAGUUUGUAAGGUAACGGCUUACCAAGGCAACGAUGCAUAGCCGACCGGAGGGGGGGAUCGGCCACCCGGGAACGUAGACACGGUCCAGACUCCUGCGGGAGGCAGCAGUAGGGAAUCUUCCGCAAUGGGCGAAAGCCUGACGGAGCAACGCCGCGUGAGUGAUGAAGGUCUUCGGAUCGUAAAACUCUAUUAUUAGGGAAGAACAUAUUUGUAAGUAACUGUGCACAUCUUGACGGUACCUAAUCAGAAAGCCACGGCUAACUACGUG
rnacentral:rRNA from 1 species